AUGUUUUAACCCAAGUUUGGGUUGAAAAUAACUUUCUUUUUUAACCCAGCGGGGUGGGUUGAGGACGCGGACGUGAAGGAGAGCACGCACGUCACGUCAAAAUCGUACGUCUCCAGUGCGAGCAGCCGCCAUUUUCUCAGCAUGAUAGAAGCGAGAAGCGAGUGAAAGCCUAUGACUUGUCCAGCUCCUGUCUUCAUUGUCCUCGCGCUGAGAGUUAAAGACACAGAAGCUGUUUGUGUGAGGAGUCACAGACCUGUGUGAGGAUGAGGAGGAUGUGUUCUUCUGAAGAGAGGGACAGACGGUUUAAGGAGAGUAAACUUCAGAAUAACAUCAAGUUAUCUUUUUUACUAAGACUAAAAUAAUGUGUGUGUUUUUUAGAUGUUGAAAUCCAGAGACAAGAUAACUUCAUUCUUUUGAGACUGAUAACUCAAACUAACUGGAGUUAAGGACACACAAGUCUGCUUGUGUAAGGAGGUGGUUUUCUCAGCUUCUUCUGAAGAGAGGGAAAGAUCAUAUAAGGCAAGUAAACUUCAUAAUUUCAUGUUAUCCGUUGUUGUUGUGUUUUACUAAGAGUAAGAUAAUGUUUGUUUUUUGUUUUUGUAGAUGUUAAAAGCAAGAGACAUGGGAGAGCAUCAUUCCUUUGAGAUUUUAUAACUCAAACCAACUUUGGAGUUGUCUUGUCUGAUUUGGAGAGUCAUUAUUCUUGGUCUUCGCUCUUAGAGGCCACUGAUGAAGAACAGGCGGUGACUGGGAUGAAUCCUGGUCAGAGAGGAGAAUCUUCUUUCCUCUAAACUGAUGCAGCAGUGGUUUUAAAGGAGGACGCUGCCCUGGAUGAUGUAGAAGAUGUCAGAUGCUGUGCUGAUGGGGUUUCUUCAUGAUUACAUCAGUUAUGCUAAAGAGAUCAUGAAAAUUGACCGUGAUGCAUGAUCUGUAUUCAUGGACUAUGAAACAAACUGUAAGUGCAUAAUUUGUUUAAAAAAAAAAAAGUUAAAUGCUUUUUCUGUGUUGUUUAGUAGAAGAGUUUACACUCUGUCAUUCAUACACCUGCUCACAUUCUUUCACACACACACACACACACACACACACACACACACACACACACAUGCGUCUGUUAAAUGUUAUAAUAUCAAAGUUAAUGUUGUGAUUUAUUUGUGUACUGUCAUGCCAGAAUAGUUGGAAAAAAACCUAACUAAUUGUAAAUUUAUUGUAUAAGUGUUUUCGUAUAUUUUUAUACAAUAUAUACAAUUGAACAAAGUCCAAUUUGAUUUUAAGUUAUAUUCAUCAAAUGUUCAAUGCUUUAUGAAUUCUGUAGCUGUUAAUGCCAUCCUUUUCUGCAUUUCUUCUAACAUGUUACUUUUUGACUUUUCUCUUGUUUUUAAUAAAUAUUUUCCUUUUGGUU